rnacentral:lncRNA from 1 species
AUUCAAAAAGCUUUUAUUAACUUUUAAAGUUUUCUCCAAAAAAAAUCAAUUCAAAUAUAACCUCAACUCAAUUUCAAACAUUCAUGUCCAAAUUUCUCUUUUUAACUUACAACUUGUUCCCAUUUCAAUUACAACUUUCACACCAUCUCAUAUUUUCAUUUCAUUUAAUAACCCAACAUUUUACAUAAAUUCUCCAAGAACAAUUCACCUUCCUAAUUCUAAGUUCAGUUAAUUUCCUGUAUAGGAAGUUUACACCGAGCUUGUUUUUUUUUUCCAUCCACCAAUAGUUGUGCCAAGAAAAUGUUAACCUGCAUAAAACAAACGCAUUUGGCC